CGGUAGCAAGUUUUGUAGCAAUACAAAAUGUUGACAAGCGGCGAACGGGUGAUUAACGCGUAGAUACUUAUUUUUAGUGGAAGAUAGCCAGUCGAAAGAUUGGGUAAUACUCCAUGUGAUUGAAAAAUCAAAGCCGUAAGGCGCUAAAAAAAAGGUCUGCGUCCCAUCAGCUAGUUGGUAGGGUAAUGGCCUACCAAGGCUAAGACGGGUAGCUGGUCUGAGAGGAUGAUCAGCCACACUGGAACUGCGACACGGUCCAGACACCUACGGGUGGCAGCAGUGAGGAAUUUUCGGCAAUGGGGGAAACCCUGACCGAGCUAUGCCGCGUGUCGGAUGAAGGCCUAUGGGUUGUAAACGACUGUGGUAGUCUACUAAUAAAAUGAAGAGACUACUAGAAAGAGGUUGCUAACUCUGUGCCAGCAGCAGCGGUAAUACAGAGACCUCAAGCGUUAUCCGGUUUCACUGGGCGUAAAGCGUUCCGAAGGCUGUCAAAUGUGUCUAAAGUGAAAGACUGAAGCUCAACUUCACGUUUGCUUUAGAAACUGUUUGACUUGAAGAACAAAGAGGUGGCUGGAACUCUGCAAGUAGGGGUGAAAUCCGUUGAUAUGCAGGGGAACACCCAAAAGCGAAAGCAGGCCACUGGU
rnacentral:rRNA from 1 species